rnacentral:rRNA from 1 species
GUGGAUUAGAUACCCUGGUAGUCCUAGCCGUAAACGAUGGAUACUAGGUGCUGUGCGUAUCGACCCGUAUAGUACUGCAGCUAACGCGUUAAGUAUCCCGCCUGGGAAGUACGUUCGCAAGAAUGAAACUCAAAGGAAUUGACGGGGGCCCGCACAAGCGGUGGAGCAUGUGGUUUAAUUCGAUGCAAAGCGAAGAACCUUACCAGGGAUUGACAUGCCGCGAAUCCUUUUGAAAAAGAGGAGUGCCUUCGGGAACGCGGACACAGGUGGUGCACGGCUGUCGUCAACU